rnacentral:rRNA from 1 species
UACAGAGGUGGCAAGCGUUGUUCGGAAUUACUGGGCGUAAGGGCGCGAUAGGCGGCCUACUAAGUCAGACGUGAAAUCCCCCGGGCUUAACCUGGGAACUGCGUCUGAUACUGGAAGGCUUGAGGAUGGGAGAGGGAUGUAGAAUUCCAGGUGUAGCGGUGAAAUGCGUAGAUAUCAGGAGGAACACCUAUGGCGAAGGCAGCUCGCUGGGACGUUACUGACGCUGAGACGCGAAAGCGUGGGGAGCAAACAGG